rnacentral:lncRNA from 1 species
GACUGUAGUAGAUACUGCAGUAGAGACUGUGGUAGAGACUGUAGUAGAAACUGUAGUAGAGACUGCAGUAGAGACUGUAGUAGAAACUGUAGUAGAGACUGUGGUAGAGACUGUAGUAGAGACUGCAGUAGAGACUAUAGUAGAGACUGUAGUAGAGGUAGCGACUGUAGUAGAGACUGCAGUAGAGACCGUAGUAGAGGUAGAGUCUGUAGUCGAGCCUGCAGUAGAGACUGUAGUAGAGGUAGAGACGGCUGUAGAGACUGUAUUAGAUACUGCAGUAGCGGGAGACUGUAGUAAAGACUAGCAGAGGUAGAGACUGUAGUUGAGACUGUAGUCGAGAUUGUAGUAGAGACUGCAGUAGAAACUGUAGUAGAGACUACAGUAGAGACUGCAGUAGAGACUGUAAUAGAGACUGUAGUAGAGUAUGCAGUAGAGACUGUAGUAGUGCCUGUAGUAGAGACUGCAGUACAGACUGUAGUAGAGACUGUAGUAGAGCCUACUGUAGAGACUGUAGUAGAGACUACUGUAGAGACUGUAGUAGAGACUGUAGUAGAGACUGUGGUAGGGACUGUAGUAGAGCCUACUGUAGAGACUGUAGCAGAGACUGUAGCAGAGACUGUAGUAGAGACUGCAGUAGAGACUUCAUUAGAGACUGUAGUAGAGACUGUAGUAGAGCCUGUAGUAGAGACUUCAGUAGAGACUUCAGUAGAGACUUCAGUAGAGACUGCAGUAGAGACUGUAAUAGAGAC